UGGUGAACCUCCAGGUUCCUGGUGAACCUCCGGGUUCCUGGUGAACCUCCAGGUUCCUGGUGAACCUCCAGGUUCCAGGGGACAACAUGGCCGACGAGUCUGUAAACUCAGCUGAAGCUCCUGAACAGGAAGUUUGUCCUUCACUCCCUUUAUUCCGUUUUUCUUUUCAGAAUCACUUUUAAAUUUGUUUAGUUUUUUUUUAACAAAUGAAGUUGCGUUCACUACAGUCGUCGUGUGGAGGAGUUUCUUCUUCUGUGGUGCUACUUUGAUUUCCUUCCCCUUGUUCCUGUCUGGAGUUGCAGGCGGACGACGGCAGCAGCAACAUCUCAGAAAUACUUAAGUAUUUACACCCCGGUUUGAUCUGAUGACAGAAAUUAAAUUAUACCAAACAUUCUUUAUGCAACAUAACUUUAUUUUCCUUGGACAUCAUUUUUACCUUUUUUCCAAAAGUGGGUCGUUUCCCUGCAACUUAUUAAAGAGAUAAUUUAAUAAAAGUGCAUCUAAACUGAGAACAGCAGUUCUAGUUGAAACACAUCUAUGCAGCUCCAGAGUGGGCGGAGUCACACUCCUGACUCCUCUGGGAAGGGCGGAGUCAAGGGUGUGGCCCCGCCCCCAAAACAUCCCAUUUCCUGGUUGCUAAAGGAGCUGGUAGACGUGAACCAGACUAAACGCUGACGUGAACCAGACUAAACGCUGACGUGGACCAGACUAAACGCUGACGUGAACCAGACUAAACGCUGACGUGAACCAGACUAAACGCUGACGUGAACCAGACUAAACGCUGACGUGAACCAGACUAAACGCUGACGUGAACCAGACUAAACGCUGACGUGAACCAGACUAAACGCUGACGUGAACCAGACUAAACGCUGGUGUAUCUAAACGCUGACGUGAACCAGACUAAACGCUGACGUGAACCAGACUAAACGCUGACGUGAACCAGACCAAACGCUGGUGUAUCUAAACGCUGACGUGAACCAGACUAAACGCUGACGUGAACCAGACUAAACGCUGACGUGAACCAGACUAAACGCUGGUGUAUCUAAACGCUGACGUGAACCAGACUAAACGCUGACGUGAACCAGAAUAAACGCUGACGUGAACCAGACUAAACGCUGACGUGAACCAGACUAAACGCUGAAGUGAACCAGACUAAACGCUGGUGUAUCUAAACGCUGACGUGAACCAGAAUAAACGCUGACGUGAACCAGACUAAACGCUGACGUGAACCAGACUAAACGCUGACGUGAACCAGACUAAACGCUGACGUGAACCAGACUAAACGCUGGUGUAUCUAAACGCUGACGUGAACCAGACUAAACGCUGACGUGAACCAGAAUAAACGCUGACGUGAACCAGACCAAACACUGACGUGAACCAGACUAAACGCUGACGUGAACCAGACUAAACGCUGACGUGAACCAGACUAAAUGCUGACGUGAACCAGACUAAACGCUGACGUGAACCAGACUAAACGCUGACGUGAACCAGACUAAACGCUGACGUGAACCAGACUAAACGCUGGUGUAUCUAAACACUGACGUGAACCAGACUAAACGCUGACGUGAACCAGACUAAACGCUGAAGUGAACCAGACUAAACGCUGACGUGAACCAGACUAAACGCUGAAGUGAACCAGACUAAACGCUGACGUGAACCAGACUAAACGCUGACGUGAACCAGACUAAACGCUGACGUGAACCAGACUAAACGCUGACGUGAACCAGACUAAACGCUGGUGUAUCUAAACGCUGACGUGAACCAGACUAAACGCUGACGUGAACCAGACUAAACACUGACGUGAACCAGACUAAACGCUGACGUGAACCAGACUAAACGCUGACGUGGACCAGACUAAAUGCUGACGUGAACCAGACUAAACGCUGGUGUAUCUAAACACUGACGUGAACCAGACUAAACGCUGACGUGAACCAGAAUAAACGCUGACGUGAACCAGACUAAACGCUGACGUGAACCAGACUAAACGCUGACGUGAACCAGACUAAACGCUGGUGUAUCUAAACACUGACGUGAACCAGACUAAACGCUGACGUGAACCAGACUAAACGCUGACGUGGACCAGACUAAACGCUGACGUGAACCAGACUAAACGCUGGUGUAUCUAAACACUGACGUGAACCAGACUAAACGCUGACGUGAACCAGACUAAACGCUGACGUGGACCAGACUAAAUGCUGACGUGAACCAGACUAAACGCUGGUGUAUCUAAACACUGACGUGAACCAGACUAAACGCUGACGUGAACCAGAAUAAACGCUGACGUGAACCAGACUAAACGCUGACGUGAACCAGACUAAACGCUGAAGUGAACCAGACUAAACGCUGACGUGAACCAGACUAAACGCUGACGUGAACCAGACUAAACGCUGGUGUAUCUAAACACUGACGUGAACCAGACUAAACGCUGACGUGAACCAGACUAAACGCUGACGUGAACCAGACUAAACGCUGACGUGAACCAGACUAAACGCUGACGUGAACCAGACUAAACGCUGGUGUAUCUAAACGCUGCUGCCGCCAUCGUCCCCCUGAAACGCCUGCAGGUCUGUUUUCCUUCGAGUGGAAGUUUCCGGAGAGACCAAGGGAUCAAUGAGACUGAAUGUUCGCCUGUUUCCUGUUAAUAGUACUGUUCACAUCACCAGCAGCUACCGCCGUUGUGACCCCCCCCCCUCCUGUCCGACGUCUCCAUCACAACCGAAAACUUCCCGGUGUUCCGUCGUUGUUCGUGUCCAAGAGGCAGAUUCCAGAGGAUCCAAACGCAACAGAAACAGCAAAACAAACAAAUGUGAAUAGCAGACGUUUAGCUGGUAGUGGAAGCGUGUAAAGAGAAUUAAGUGGGCAGAAGUUAUUGUCCAAUAUGUAAAUCAUGUGAACACAUCUUGUACUUAUUUAACAGUUUUGAAUACUUGAAAACUAUAUAAAGUUUCUUUGUGA